AUUUUUAUAGUUUAACUUAAAACGCCAGCAUGUGGCUCUGGAAAUGUGGUAAACCACUUAAAAUA
rnacentral:tRNA from 1 species